rnacentral:rRNA from 1 species
UACGAGGGGAGCAAGCGUUGUUCGGAUUUACUGGGCGUAAAGGGCGCGUAGGCGGCGUGACUAGUCACUUGUGAAAUCUCCGGGCUUAACUCGGAACGGUCAAGUGAUACUGUCGUGCUAGAGUACAGAAGGGGCAACUGGAAUUCUCGGUGUAGCGGUGAAAUGCGUAGAUAUCGAGAGGAACACCUGCGGCGAAGGCGGGUUGCUGGGCUGAUACUGACGCUGAUGCGCGAAAGCCAGGGGAGCGAACGGG